rnacentral:rRNA from 1 species
CCUACGGGUGGCAGCAGUGAGGAAUAUUGGUCAAUGGCCGGAAGGCUGAACCAGCCAUGCCGCGUGAAGGUCAGUGCCCUAUGGGCGUUAAACUUCUUUUGUGCGGGAGCAAUAAUGGUCACGUGUGGCCAGACGAGAGUACCGUACGAAUAAGCAUCGGCUAACUCCGUGCCAGCAGCCGCGGUAAUAAGGGGGAUGCAAGCGUUAUCCGGAUUUAUUGGGGUUAAAGGGGUCGUAGGCUGUGAGGUAAGUCAGCGGUGAAAUGCCCCCGCUCAACGGGGUGAAGUGCCAUUGAUACUGCCUUGCUGGAAUGCGGAUGCCGUGGGAGGAAUGUGUGGUGUAGCGGUGAAAUGCAUAGAUAUCACACAGAACACCGAUUGCGAAGGCAUCUCACGAAUCCGCGAUUGACGCUGAUGCACGAAAGCGUGGGUAUCAAACAGGAUUAGAUACCCGUGUAGUC